AUUGAACGCUGGCGGCAUGCUUUACACAUGCAAGUCGAACGGCAGCGCGGGCUUCGGCCUGGCGGCGAGUGGCGAACGGGUGAGUAAUGCAUCGGAACGUGCCCAGCAGUGGGGGAUAGCCCGGCGAAAGCCGGAUUAAUACCGCAUACGACCUGAGGGUGAAAGCGGGGGACCGAAAGGCCUCGCGCUAUUGGCGCGGCCGAUGUCGGAUUAGCUAGUUGGUGGGGUAAAGGCUUACCAAGGCGACGAUCCGUAGCUGGUCUGAGAGGACGACCAGCCACACUGGAACUGAGACACGGCCCAGACUCCUACGGGAGGCAGCAGUGGGGAAUUUUGGACAAUGGGGGCAACCCUGAUCCAGCCAUGCCGCGUGCGGGAAGAAGGCCUUCGGGUUGUAAACCGCUUUUGUUCGGGAAGAAAACCUCUGGGCUAAUACCCCGGGGGGAUGACGGUACCGGAAGAAUAAGCACCGGCUAACUACGUG
rnacentral:rRNA from 1 species